GGCCUUACACGUAUUGCAGCAUCUGCGAUAACAGCUCACUCCUCAACCAAAAGUCUCGAACUUUAUCACGAACUUUCCUGGGUUCUCGAUAGCGUGACGAAAAUGCGAAGCAAUCGCGGGACAGCAUCAUCGGCGGGUAUCCUUCGAGCACUACGGGUGAUGGGAAGUCGUUCCUGAAACCGAGCUUUACGCACAGAGAAACUAAAAAGCGUAUAUUUCUGUCUCAUCAACUUUUUUUCCAGAGAAAGAAACAUCAGAGGCGGUAGAACAGAGGUCGGGAGGGAGAGACAGAGAGAGCCAGCGAGAAUGUGCUGCGGAGAUGAUUGCAGGCCGCUGGCGUUCCUGCUUGGCCUUCCCUUCGCCCUUCUCUCUCUCCUAGUCUCCAUAGUCGGCAUCAUCGUCUGGAUCGUUGGAUUGCUGUUGACUCUGAUAUGCCCCUGCUUCCUGUGCGUGACCCUGCUAGUGGAGUUCGCGCUGGAGCUGAUCAAAGCCCCCUUCACGUCAUGGAGUGGUUCACUUCUCAGAUACCCUGUUGAUCAUACCGAUCACCAUUUGAUGACCGUUUCUGCUUUUCAGAGCUGACUGGUAUUUCUCCUCUUUCCCGUACGUGGAUUUCAUGGCAGUAUCUCUGUGAUGUGCGGCCGAUUACUGGGUUUGUAUGUAAUGAAAAAAAAAAGGGAAAUCCGCUCUUGUGAAAUUUCUAGAAAAAUUUGAUUGAAGUCGAUUCGUCUUUCAUUUGCAGUUGCAGACAUGAGUAUGAUUAGCCGUUUUUCUUGAUUCA